rnacentral:rRNA from 1 species
AGCGAACGCUGGCGGCAGGCCUAACACAUGCAAGUCGAACGAACCUUUCGGGGUUAGUGGCGGACGGGUGAGUAACACGUGGGAACGUGCCUUUAGGUUCGGAAUAACUCAGGGAAACUUGUGCUAAUACCGAAUGUGCCCUUCGGGGGAAAGAUUUAUCGCCUUUAGAGCGGCCCGCGUCUGAUUAGCUAGUUGGUUGAGGUAAUGGCUCACCAAGGCGACGAUCAGUAGCUGGUCUGAGAGGAUGAUCAGCCACGUUGGGACUGAGACACGGCCCAAACUCCUACGGGAGGCAGCAGUGGGGAAUCUUGCGCAAUGGGCGAAAGCCUGACGCAGCCAUGCCGCGUGAAUGAUGAAGGUCUUAGGAUUGUAAAAUUCUUUCACCGGGGACGAUAAUGACGGUACCCGGAGAAGAAGCCCCGGCUAACUUCGUG